ACGCUUCAAGAGACGCUCGCAACCCGUCUGAUAAGUACGAUGAAGAAAUGUCAUAAAUAAGUAUUUACAGAGUGCAUAAGGAGGCGACAGUGCAUUUCACAUUCCCCAACUUAACGCCGAGAAUCACAAAUCUAACAACCAUGAUGGAUUACCUAGUGCCCUAAGGUUCUUAAUUACCUAUCCACCCUAGCAGAGCUAGUGCCAACUACCAACACAAGACUAGACAAGAUUAUGGCUCAUCCAUUUGGUAGACUACUGUGAUAUGACCCGGCAUCUCAAUCAAUUGACAUUGUACAUAUCUGCUGUCAACAGAAGGCAAAAAAUUCGUGGUUCAAGAGGAACUAUGGAAGAGGUGCCUCUCGGCCUAUCUAAGCAUGAUGCAAUGCUGCUUCUGCUGGCUGUUGUCAAGAGCUGGCGUGCGAGCGUACACAAUAAACAAUUAUUUAGGACAUUAUUUUGUUUUACUAUCACACUGCAUACAGCCUUAAUAAAAUCUGAUAGUCACCUCUGUGCCGGCGAGAAUAUUGAAAUAGGUAAAUAAUA